rnacentral:rRNA from 1 species
UACGAAGGGGGCUAGCGUUGUUCGGAAUUACUGGGCGUAAAGCGCACGUAGGCGGACUACUAAGUCAGGGGUGAAAUCCCGGGGCUCAACCCCCGGAACUGCCUUUGAUACUGAUAGUCUCGAGUCCGGAAGAGGGUGAGUGGAAUUCCGAGUGUAGAGGUGAAAUUCGUAGAUAUUCGGAGGAACACCAGUGGCGAAGGCGGCUCACUGGUCCGGUACUGACGCUGAGGUGCGAAAGCGUGGGGAGCAAACAGG